rnacentral:sRNA from 1 species
CCCUUUCAGUCCUGCUAUUGCUGCAAACUGAGUAUGAAAGAAGGCGACCCAGCCAUCUAUGCCGAAAGGGCUGGCUAUGAUAAACUGUGGCACCCAGCUUGUUUUGUGUGCAGCACCUGCCAUGAACUCCUGGUUGACAUGAUUUAUUUUUGGAAGAAUGAGAAGCUGUACUGUGGCAGACAUUACUGUGACAGCGAGAAACCCCGAUGUGCUGGCUGUGACGAGCUGAUAUUCAGCAAUGAGUAUACCCAGGCAGAGAACCAGAAUUGGCACCUGAAACACUUCUGCUGCUUUGACUGUGAUAGCAUUCUAGCUGGGGAGAUAUACGUGAUGGUCAAUGACAAGCCCGUGUGCAAGCCCUGCUAUGUGAAGAAUCACGCUGUGGUGAGAAAUGUUCUAAGGAUAUGGUUGCCUCAGGCUGCUUUAGGGCUUGAGUUUAUGCUUUUCUUAAAGCCUCUUACAAAUGGGAAACAGAAAGCACUCCUCCU